GUGGCUUCCCCAGCACGGACACUGAAACUGUGAGGGUUCCAAGAUUAGCAUGGCCCGUGUGCAAGGAUGACAUGCACAUUCAUGAAGUAUUUCCUAUUUUC
rnacentral:snRNA from 1 species